UGGUCAAGUUAUUAAGGGUGCAGGGCGGAUGCCUUGGCACUAGGAGCCGAUGAAGGACGUGAUAAGCUGCGAUAAGCUUCGGGGAGUUGCACGUAAACUUUGAUCCGAAGAUUUCCGAAUGAGGAAACUCACUUAGAGUAAUGUCUAAGUAUCAUUAAGUGAAUACAUAGCUUAAUGAGGGGAACUCAGGGAACUGAAACAUCUAAGUACCUGAAGGAAGAGAAAGAAAUUCGAUUCCGUAAGUAGCGGCGAGCGAACGCGGAUUAGCCCAAACCAAUAAAGUUUUCUUUAUUGGGGUUGCGGACAUAUCAUAACGAAGAGGUAUCGUAAUUGAAGAGGUUUGGAAAGACCCACCACAGAAGGUAAUAGUCCUGUAUGUUAAACGAGAAGACUUCAGAUAUGAUCCAGAGUACCACGGGACACGUGAAACCCUGUGGGAAGCAGGAGGGACCACCCUCCAAGGCUAAAUACUACCUAGUGACCGAUAGCGUAUAGUACCGUGAGGGAAAGGUGAAAAGAACCCCGGGAGGGGAGUGAAAUAGAACCUGAAACCCUGCACUUACAAGCUGUGGAAGCACAUUUCUUGUGUGACCGCGUACUUUUUGUAGAACGGGCCAACGAGUUACGUUAAGUAGCAAGGUUAAGCACUUAAGGUGCGGAGCCGUAGCGAAAGCGAGUUUUAACUGAGCGUUCAGUUACUUGACGUAGACCCGAAACCGGGCGACCUACCCAUGAGCAGGAUGAAGCGAAAGUAAAAUUUCGUGGAGGUCCGAACCCACGAGCGUUGAAAAGCUCGGGGAUGACUUGUGGGUAGCGGUGAAAUUCCAAUCGAGCCCGGAGAUAGCUGGUUCUCCCCGAAAUAGCUUUAGGGCUAGCCUCAAGGUGAGAGAUACGGAGGUAGAGCACUGAAUGUCCUAGGGGGUAUUGCACCUACCGAAGACUAUCAAACUCCGAAUGCCGUCAUCUUAUACUUGGGAGUCAGACUGUGGGUGAUAAGAUUCAUAGUCGAAAGGGCAACAGCCCAGAUCGUCAGCUAAGGUCCCUAAAUGUAAGUUAAGUGGUAAAGGAUGUGGGAUUGCACAGACAACCAGGAUGUUGGCUUAGAAGCAGCCACUCAUUCAAAGAGUGCGUAAUAGCUCACUGGUCGAGUGAUCCUGCGCCGAAGAUUUCCGGGGCUAAAACUUACUACCGAAGCUACGGCAUCAGUAAUGAUGGGUAGGGGAGCUUCCCAUACGGGUUGAAGCAUGACCGUAAGGACAUGUGGACAGUAUGGGAGUGAGAAUGUUGGCAUGAGUAGCGAGAUGUGGGUGAGAAUCCCACAGGCCGUAAACCCAAGGUUUCCAGGGGAAGGUUCGUCCGCCCUGGGUUAGUCGGGACCUAAGCUGAGGCCGAAAGGCGUAGGUGAUGGACAACAGGUUGAUAUUCCUGUACUACCGAUAACCGUUUGAGAGAAGGGAUGACACAGUAGGAUAAGCUAAGCACACUGUUGGUUAUGUGUGCCCAAGCAUUGAGGCAGUCAAAGUAGGCAAAUCCGCUUUGAUAAUGCUGGGAUGUGAUGGGGAGCGAAAUUUAGUAGCGAAGUAGCUGAUUUCACACUGUCAAGAAAAGUCUCUAUCGAGGUUAAAGGUACCCGUACCGCAAACCGACACAGGUGGGUGAGGAGAGUAUCCUAAGGCCAGCGAGAGAACUGUUGUUAAGGAACUCGGCAAAAUGACCCCGUAACUUAGGGAUAAGGGGUGCCACCAUCAGGUGGCCGCAGAGAAUAGGCCCAAGCGACUGUUUACCAAAAACAUAGGUUUCUGCUAAGUCGCAAGACGAUGUAUAGGAGCUGACGCCUGCCCGGUGCUGGAAGGUUAAGGGGAUCUGUUAGAGCAAUCGAAGCAGUGAACUUAAGCCCCAGUAAACGGCGGCCGUAACUAUAACGGUCCUAAGGUAGCGAAAUUCCUUGUCGGGUAAGUUCCGACCCGCACGAAAGGCGUAACGAUUUGGGCACUGUCUCAACAACAGACUCGGUGAAAUUGUAAUUCCGGUGAAGAUGCCGGAUACCUGCGACAGGACGGAAAGACCCCAUGGAGCUUUACUGUAGCUUGACAUUGGGUCUUGGUACUACAUGUACAGGAUAGGUGGGAGGCUUUGAAACCAGGACGCCAGUUUUGGCGGAGCCAUCCUUGGGAUACCACCCUUGUAGUACUGGGACUCUAACCAUAGGCCAUGAAUCUGGUCUUGGGACACUGUCAGGUGGGCAGUUUGACUGGGGCGGUCGCCUCCCAAAAGGUAACGGAGGCGCUCAAAGGUUCUCUCAGUACGGUCGGAAAUCGUACGUAGAGUGUAAAGGCAAAAGAGAGCUUGAUUGCAAGACAUACAGGUCGAGCAAGGAUGAAAAUCGGACUUAGUGAUCCGGUGGUUCUGCGUGGAAGGGCCAUCGCUCAACGGAUAAAAGCUACCCUGGGGAUAACAGGCUUAUCUCCCCCAAGAGUCCACAUCGACGGGGAGGUUUGGCACCUCGAUGUCGGCUCAUCACAUCCUGGGGCUGUAGUAGGUCCCAAGGGUUGGGCUGUUCGCCCAUUAAAGUGGUACGCGAGCUGGGUUCAGAACGUCGUGAGACAGUUCGGUCCCUAUCCGUCGCAGGCGUAGGAAAUUUGAGAAGACCUGUCCUUAGUACGAGAGGACCGGGAUGGACGUACCUCUGGUGUACCAGUUGUUCUGCCAAGGGCAUGGCUGGGUAGCUAUGUACGGAAUGGAUAAGCGCUGAAAGCAUCUAAGCGCGAAGCCAACUUCAAGAUAAGAUUUCCCACCGCAAGGGUAAGACUCCAGAAAGACUAUCUGGUUGAUAGGUCGAAGGUGUAAGUGCAGCAAUGUAUUUAGCUUAUCG
rnacentral:rRNA from 1 species